rnacentral:rRNA from 1 species
ACUCCUACGGGAGGCAGCAGUGGGGAAUAUUGGACAAUGGGGGCAAGCCUGAUCAGCCAUGCCGCGUGAGUGAGAAGGCCUUCGGGUUGUAAAGCCCUUUCGGCGGGGAAGAAAUUGCACGGGUUAAUACCCUGCGUAGAUGACGGUACCCGAAGAAUAAGCACCGGCUAACUCCGUGCCAGCAGCCGCGGUAAU